UACGGAGAGUGCAAGCGUUGUUCGGAUUUACUGGGUGUAAAGGACCUGUAGGCGUCCAGAUCAAUCAGACGUGUAAUCCCCCGGCUUACCCGGGGAACGGCAUCUGAUAUUGUCUGGAUCGAGGAUGGGAUAGGAGAGCGGAACUGUAGGUGUAGCGGUGAAAUGUGUAGAUAUCUACAGGAACACCAGAGGCGCAGGCGGCUCUCUGGCCCAUAUCUGACGCUGAGGGGUGAAAGCUAGGGGAG
rnacentral:rRNA from 1 species